UGGGGAAUCUUGGACAAUGGGGGCAACCCUGAUCCAGCGAUGCCGCGUGGGUGAAGAAGGCCUUCGGGUUGUAAAGCCCUUUAGGCUGGGAAGAAGGGUUUGGGAUGAAUAAUCCUGAACUUUGACGGUACCAGCAGAAUAAGCACCGGCAAACUCUGUGCCAGCAGCCGCGGUAAUACAGAGGGUGCAAGCGUUAAUCGGAUUCACUGGGCGUAAAGGUUGCGCAGGCGGUUGGGUGUGUCAGAUGUGAAAUCCCGAGGCUCAACCUCGGAACCGCGUCUGAAACUACUCGACUAGAGUACUGGAGAGGGUAACGGAAUUCACGGUGUAGCAGUGAAAUGCGUAGAUAUCGUGAGGAACACCAGAGGCGAAGGCGGUUACCUGGACAGUUACUGACGCUCAGGCACGAAAGCAUGGGGAGCAAA
rnacentral:rRNA from 1 species